ensembl:misc_RNA Metazoa_SRP Metazoan signal recognition particle RNA
GCCCUGGCAUGAUGGCUUGUGCCUGUGGUCCAAACUACUCCAGAGGCUGAGGCAGGAGGAUCACUUGGGCCCAAGAAUUGUGGGCUGUAAUGCACUAUGCCAUUCUGUGUCUGUGCUGAGUUCAGCAUCCAUGUGGUUACCUCCUGGUAUCAGGGACCACCAGGUUGCCUAAGGAGGGCCCAGAUUAGAAACAGAGCAAAUCAAACUCUUGUGCUGAUCAGUAGUGGAAUUGCGCCUGUGAAUAGCCACUGCACUCCAGCCUGGGCAAUGUAGUAAGACCCUGUCUCUG